UGGCCCCCAACGUGUGGGGCCUGAAUACAGGGGAUUCCAUGAGGAAGAAGACUCAGGUGGCCGGCGUUGUAUAUAAAAAUUCCUUCAAACACUGUGGGAGCCUGCUGCAGCCAAAAUAUAUGUGAGUGAUAGAGUCUGAUUAUGGGACAAGCAUUAAGCCAACACUGCAUCUAUGUGAGACACUUAAAAGAGGCAUUAAGAGUGCUAGGUGUAAUGGUAAAACCAAUGAUUUAUUUAAUUUUUUGAUUUUGUUAAGGACCUUUGCCCUU
rfam:Rattus norvegicus chromosome X, whole genome shotgun sequence.